CCUCAGUAACGGCGAGUGAAGCGGUAACAGCUCAAAUUUGAAAUCUGGGUCUUUCAGGCUCCGAGUUGUAAUUUGUAGAAGAUGCUUUGGGUGCGGCCCCGGUCUAAGUUCCUUGGAACAGGACGUCAUAGAGGGUGAGAAUCCCGUAUGUGAUCGGUGGCUUGCGCCCGUGUAAAGCUCUUUCGACGAGUCGGGUUGUUUGGGAAUGCAGCUCUAAAUGGGUGGUAAAUUUCAUCUAAAGCUAAAUAUUGGCCAGAGACCGAUAGCGCACAAGUAGAGUGAUCGAAAGAUGAAAAGGACUUUGGAAAGAGAGUUAAACAGUACGUGAAAUUGUUGAAAGGGAAGCGCUUGCAACCAGACUUGCGCGGGGUUGAUCAUCCGGGGUUCUCCCCGGUGCACUCGGCCUCGCUCAGGCCAGCAUCGGUUUCGGUGGUUGGAUAAAGGCCUUGGGAAUGUGACUUCUUUCGGGGAGUGUUAUAGCCCUCGGUGCAAUGCAGCCUACCGGGACCGAGGACCGCGCUUCGGCUAGGAUGCUGGCGUAAUGGUUGUAAGCGACCCGUCUUGAAACACGGACCAAGGAGUCUAACAUCUAUGCGAGUGUUUGGGUGUCAAACCCAUACGCGUAAUGAAAGUGAACGGAGGUGAGAACCCUUAAGGGUGCAUCAUCGACCGAUCCUGAUGUCUUCGGAUGGAUUUGAGUAAGAGCAUAGCUGUUGGGACCCGAAAGAUGGUGAACUAUGCCUGAAUAGGGUGAAGCCAGAGGAAACUCUGGUGGAGGCUCGCAGCGGUUCUGACGUGCAAAUCGAUCGUCAAAUUUGGGCAUA
rnacentral:rRNA from 1 species